AGUGAACGCUGGCGGUAGGCCUAACACAUGCAAGUCGAACGGCAGCACAGUAAGAGCUUGCUCUUACGGGUGGCGAGUGGCGGACGGGUGAGGAAUACAUCGGAAUCUACUUUUUCGUGGGGGAUAACGUAGGGAAACUUACGCUAAUACCGCAUACGACCUACGGGUGAAAGCAGGGGAUCUUCGGACCUUGCGCGAUUGAAUGAGCCGAUGUCGGAUUAGCUAGUUGGCGGGGUAAAGGCCCACCAAGUCGACGAUCCGUAGCUCGUCUGAGAGGAUGGUCGGCCACACUGGAACUGAGCCACGGUCCAGACUCCUGCGGGAGGCCGCAGUGGGGAAUGUUGGACAAUGGGCGCAAGCCUGAUCCAGCCAGACCGCGUGGGUGAAGAAGGCCUUCGGGUUGGAAAGCCCUUUUGUUGGGAAAGAAAAGCAGCAGGUUAAUACCCCGCUGUUCUGACGGUACCCGAAGAAGAAGCACCGGCUAACUUCGUG
rnacentral:rRNA from 1 species